CCGGGCUGGAGAGAUGGCUCCUAGGUUAAGAGCACUGGCUGCUCUUCCACAGGUCCUGAGUUCAAUUCCCAGUAACCACAUGG
ensembl:miRNA